rnacentral:rRNA from 1 species
UACGUAGGGGGCGAGCGUUGUCCGGAAUUAUUGGGCGUAAAGAGCUCGUAGGCGGUCUGUUACGUCCGCUGUGAAAACCCAGGGCUUAACCCUGGGCUUGCAGUGGAUACGGGUAGACUAGAGGCAGGUAGGGGAGAAUGGAAUUCCCGGUGUGGCGGUGAAAUGCGCAGAUAUCGGGAGGAACACCGGUGGCGAAGGCGGUUCUCUGGGCCUGACCUGACGCUGAGGAGCGAAAGCGUGGGGAGCGAACAGG